rnacentral:lncRNA from 1 species
GCGCAGUGCUGGUGCUGCUGGCCAUGGCGGGCGUCGCGUCGGCGGCGUCUUGCAACGUGGGUCAGCUGACGCCAUGCGCGUCGGCGCUGGCGACGGGCGCGACGCCGUCGGCGUCGUGCUGCUCGAGCCUGAAAGCGCAGCAGGGGUGCUUCUGCACGUACGCCAAGAACCCCACCUACGCGCGCUACAUCAACAGCCCCAACGCCAAGAAGGUGGUCGCCUCCUGCGGCCUCACCGUCCCGCGCUGCUAAUUUUGCUAUCAGCCCCGCCCGCUGCGCUCCAUCAUCCAUGCCCGCGAUGUUAU